CUGUCCUACGGGAGGCAGCAGUGAGGAAUAUUGGUCAAUGGGCGCGAGCCUGAACCAGCCAAGUCGCGUGAGGGAAGACGGUCCUAUGGAUUGUAAACCUCUUUUGUCGGGGAGCAAAAGACGCCACGUGUGGCGUUCCGAGAGUACCCGAAGAAAAAGCAUCGGCUAACUCCGUGCCAGCAGCCGCGGUAAUACGGAGGAUGCGAGCGUUAUCUGGAUUUAUUGGGUUUAAAGGGUGCGUAGGCGGAAUAUCAAGUCAGCGGUAAAAAUU
rnacentral:rRNA from 1 species